UACGUAGGGUCCAAGCGUUAUCCGGAAUCAUUGGGCGUAAAGAGCUCGUAGGCGGUUCAGCAAGUCGGCUGUGAAAGUCCGAGGCUCAACCUCGGAAUUGCAGUCGAUACUGCUGUGACUCGAGUCCGGUAGAGGAGAAUGGAAUUCUCGGUGUAGCGGUGAAAUGCGCAGAUAUCGAGAGGAACACCAGUAGCGAAGGCGGUUCUCUGGGCCGGCACUGACGCUGAGGAGCGAAAGCGUGGGGAGCAAACAGGAUUAGAAACCCCAGUAGUCC
rnacentral:rRNA from 1 species